UACGUAUGGUGCAAGCGUUAUCCGGAUUUACUGGGUGUAAAGGGAGCGUAGACGGCUAGGCAAGUCUGAUGUGAAAAUCCGGGGCUCAACCCCGGAACUGCAUUGGAAACUGUUAAGCUAGAGUGUCGGAGAGGUAAGUGGAAUUCCUAGUGUAGCGGUGAAAUGCGUAGAUAUUAGGAGGAACACCAGUGGCGAAGGCGGCUUACUGGACAGUAACUGACGUUGAGGCUCGAAAGCGUGGGGAGCAAACAGG
rnacentral:rRNA from 1 species